CGCCAGACUCCUACGGGAGGCAGCAGUGGGGAAUAUUGCACAAUGGGGGAAACCCUGAUGCAGCGACGCCGCGUGAGUGAAGAAGCGUUUCGGCGCGUAAAGCUCUGUCAGCGGGGAAGAAACACGGUUCGCGAGAGCCGCGGACGGUACCCGACCAAGAAGCCCCGGCUAACUACGUGCCAGCAGCCGCGGUAAUACGUAGGGGGCAAGCGUUAUCCGGAUUCACUGGGUGUAAAGGGAGCGUAGACGGCGAGACAAGUCUGGAGUGAAAGGCCGGGGCCCAACCCCGGGACUGCAUUGGAAACUGCGGGACUGGAGUGUCGGAGGGGUAAGCGGAAUUCCUGGUGUAGCGGUGAAAUGCGUAGAUAUCAGGAGGAACACCGGUGGCGAAGGCGGCUUACUGGACGAUGACUGACGCUGAGGCUCGAAAGCGUGGGGAGCAAACAGGAUUAGAUACCCGGGUAGG
rnacentral:rRNA from 1 species